GCCAGCAGCCGNGGUAAUACGUAGGUGGCAAGCGUUAUCCGGAUUUAUUGGGCGUAAAGAGAGUGCAGGCGGUUUUCUAAGUCUGAUGUGAAAGCCUUCGGCUUAACCGGAGAAGUGCAUCGGAAACUGGAUAACUUGAGUGCAGAAGAGGGUAGUGGAACUCCAUGUGUAGCGGUGGAAUGCGUAGAUAUAUGGAAGAACACCAGUGGCGAAGGCGGCUACCUGGUCUGCAACUGACGCUGAGACUCGAAAGCAUGGGUAGCGAACAGGAUUAGAUACCCUGGUAGUCCAUGCCGUAAACGAUGAGUGCUAGGUGUUGGAGGGUUUCCGCCCUUCAGUGCCGGAGCUAACGCAUUAAGCACUCCGCCUGGGGAGUACGACCGCAAGGUUGAAACUCAAAGGAAUUGACGGGGGCCCGCACAAGCGGUGGAGCAUGUGGUUUAAUUCGAAGCUACGCGAAGAACCUUACCAGGUCUUGACAUCUUGCGCCAACCCUAGAGAUAGGGCGUUUCCUUCGGGAACGCAAUGACAGGUGGUGCAUGGUCGUCGUCAGCUCGUGUCGUGAGAUGUUGGGUUAAGUCCCGCAACGAGCGCAACCCUUGUUACUAGUUGCCAGCAUUAAGUUGGGCACUCUAGUGAGACUGCCGGUGACAAACCGGAGGAAGGUGGGGACGACGUCAGAUCAUCAUGCCCCUUAUGACCUGGGCUACACACGUGCUACAAUGGACGGUACAACGAGUCGCGAACUCGCGAGGGCAAGCAAAUCUCUUAAAACCGUUCUCAGUUCGGACUGCAGGCUGCAACUCGCCUGCACGAAGUCGGAAUCGCUAGUAAUCGCGGAUCAGCAUGCCGCGGUGAAUACGUUCCCGGGCCUUGUACACACCGCCCGUCACACCAUGAGAGUUUGUAACACCCAAAGUCGGUGGGGUAACCUUUAGGAGCC
rnacentral:rRNA from 1 species